rnacentral:lncRNA from 1 species
GGUGGCCGGCCGUCUUCUUCGAUAGCACAGGUCUUCUUCAGCAGCAAUCUCUUGCAAUAGCUUCUUCUUCCAAAUCUCAUCCAUCUCUCAUUCAUAAAGGUACAUUCAUGUGUUUCGGAUUUUGGUAUCCGUUUUUUUCAUGGAUUGUUGUUUCCGUAAAUAUUAUUUCACAUUCCAAAUCACAGAAUCCGGUAAGUUUUUGAAUUUGGGGAUCCGGUAGUUUCCCGAAUUUGUGGAUCCGUUAGUUUUCCGGAUGUAAGGAUCCGGUAGUAUUCCGGAUUUAGGAAUCCGGUAGUGUUCUGGAUUUAGGUGAAGUUUAACACCCUUUUUUCUUUCAUUUUCACCCAUGUCACUCCUUAGUACUAAUUCUUCAAGCUGUAAGAGAGACAUUCACUAGUGUUGGAGUUGAAAUUAGUAAAGUCUUGUAGUUAUUGUUAUAACAUCUUUACCAUAUAUGCUUAUUCCUUGUAUAUUUUUCUCUGGUUAGUUUGAAGUUUUAAUAUUUAUUUCACUUUCCAGUUUUUAUAUUCCUUUCAAGGAAUGAAUCUGUGUUCUUUUUAACUUCUUUCACUCCCUCAUUGUUAAGUCUUCCAAUGUGCUCCAAGGAUGCUUCCAUCACUCAUUCUUUUUUAUUUCUCUACCACAUAAUAUAUUUUCCUGAAAUUGUAUACUCUGGGUGUUUGUGUUGAUCUUAAUUGCAAGUAUUUAAUGCUAAUUCUGUAAAGUAUAUUCAAUGGCAAGAUGUGAAUUCGUGGUUAUCAGUUUUACAAUUUGAAUGCAAAUUGGAAUCUGAUGCAUCAAAGCCCCUAAUUAAUAGUUGUACAAAAUGUUAUUUCACAUUGAUACAGAAUCCGUAAAUGACGAUACCGGACUACCCCGAGCUUCAUUAACUGUAAUAACAUUUAGGAAUCCGGUAGUGUUCCGGAUUUAGGAAUCCGGUAGUGUUCCGGAUUUAGGAAUCCGGUAGUGUUCCGGAUUUAGGAAUCCGGUAGUGUUCCGGAUUUAGGAAUCCGGUAGUGUUCCGGAUUUAGGAAUCCGGUAGUGUUCCGGAUUUAGGAAUCCGGUAGUGUUUUUUGCUUCAUUUUCGGCAACCAAGGAAAGGUUCAUCAAAUGUUCAUGUAUACUUUAUAAAAGAUUAGAAUUAGAUGACAUGUACACUGUUAAUGCAAGGUACCACAUGCAAAUUUCUGCAGGUUUAUGAAUAUAAGUUGAAUCUAACUUGAAUGGUGUAAUUGAACAGAAAUGGUGAAGACAGGGGAGGAGGUUCACAAGGUGAUCGUCUACGUCCCACAGCCUCUGUUAGAAGAAGAAGAAGACAUGUUAAUGAAGAUGAAGAACAUGUUGAACAUGAAGAUGCAGAAAAUGUUGAUGUUGAACUUGAAGAAGCUGAACCCCAAAUGGAGGUGGAGGAUGAAGGCGCACCUGAAAUAGAAGGUGAAGGUUAUCCUGGAGGUCCACGGGAUGGGACACUAUUGACAGGUUUUGAAGACCAUGUGGCCAUGCAAUUAUGGAAUGGUGUGGUAAGUAA